AGUUACUUUGUUUGGUUUGAUCAAAUCUGCUAUUAUUGGUGAUCAGAGCUGAUUUUGGCUAUUCCUUUCUCUCCAUAUAAAAAAGAAAAUAAAACGGAGUGAGACUCUUAAUUUCCAAAAACAAAAUGUCCGAAGACUGAAGAUAAAAUAUAGAAAGCUUCUCUUUAUAUGUAGUUCUAAAAAGCAAGGUCGAAGAGGAGACCUUUCCUUUCUUGAGUCAGGUAGAAAUGGCGAGGGAGAAGAUCAAGAUCAAGAAGAUCGACAACUUGACGGCAAGGCAAGUGACUUUCUCUAAAAGAAGGCGAGGGCUUUUCAAGAAAGCCGAAGAGCUUUCAGUUCUUUGUGACGCCGAGGUUGCUCUCAUUAUUUUCUCAGCUACUGGAAAGCUCUUUGAGUUUGCUAGCUCCAGCAUGAAAGACAUGCUGGGAAGGUAUAAUCUGCAUUCCAACAAAUUAGAUCAACCAUCUCUUGAGCUUCAGCUGGAAAACACUAAUGAAAUUAGUUUGAGCAAGGAAGUUGCUGACAAAACACAUCAACUGAGUCACAUAUAUAAUAGACAGAUGAGAGGAGAAGAUCUUCAAGGAUUGAACAUUGAUGAAUUGCAACAACUAGAGAAACUGCUGGAAUCAGGACUCACUCGAGGUCUUGAGACCAAGGGUGAACGUAUUAUGAAUGAGAUCUCUUCACUUGAAACCAAGGGAGCACAAUUGCAGGAAGAAAAAAGCUACUUAAAGAAAAAUGAUGUUUUCAGUUGGUGUCAUUUUUCAAGGGCAAGAGACUUGCCUUAGUAGAUUCAGAAGUUGCAACUCAGGAAGAAGGCAUGUCAUCACAAUCUGUCAAUAAUGUUUAUAGUUGUAGUAGUGGCCCUCCAUUGGAAGAUGAUAGCUCAGAUACUUAUCUUAAACUAGGGCUUCCCUUCUCUUAGCUAAUAUAGAUUAGCAGUGACGCAUCAAAUUCCAGCAAAGGAUAAAAGCUGAACUUUGCGAGAAUACAUUUCUAUUAUGUUUCAAGUUUAAAGCAAAUAUGAAACAUAUAAUAUGUAUUAUUGUUUUGAAUUUGGAUAAUUUACCUUAAAUUACUUUAAACUUAUUCUAGUAUUUUAUGUACUUGGAUGUAUUUCUCUUACCAGAAGUCCAAAGGAGCUUAAUAAUGAUGAUAAUGGGUUUUAGAAGAAUUUGAUUAA